rnacentral:rRNA from 1 species
UACGUAGGGUGCAAGCGUUGUCCGGAAUUAUUGGGCGUAAAGCGCGCGCAGGCGGCUUCUUAAGUCUGAUGUGAAAGCCCACGGCUCAACCGUGGAGGGUCAUUGGAAACUGGGGAGCUUGAGUGCAGAAGAGGAGAGUGGAAUUCCACGUGUAGCGGUGAAAUGCGUAGAUAUGUGGAGGAACACCAGUGGCGAAAGCGGCUCUCUGGUCUGUAACUGACGCUGAGGCGCGAAAGCGUGGGGAGCAAACAGG